GUCCUUUCGCUUCUUCCUGCUGAAAGAGGUUUACAACCCGAAGGCCGUCAUCCCUCACGCGGCGUCGCUGCAUCAGGCUUUCGCCCAUUGUGCAAUAUUCCCCACUGCUGCCUCCCGUAGGAGUCUGGGCCGUGUCUCAGUCCCAGUGUGGCCGGUCGCCCUCUCAGGCCGGCUACCCGUCGUCGCCUUGGUAGGCCAUCACCCCACCAACAAGCUGAUAGGCCGCGGGCUCAUCCUUCACCGCCGGAGCUUUUAACCCCGUCCCAUGCGGGACAGAGUGUUAUCCGGUAUUAGACCCCGUUUCCAGGGCUUGUCCCAGAGUGAAGGGCAGAUUGCCCACGUGUUACUCACCCGUUCGCCACUAAUCCACCCCGAANGGCUUCAUCGUUCGACUUGCAUGUGUUAAGCACGCCGCCAGCGUUCGUCCUGAGCCAGGAUNCAAACUCUAAA
rnacentral:rRNA from 1 species